AUUCCUGCCUACCCAGUGAAAAGGGAUGUAAAUGAGCCUUCUUUAUUAAGGGAUACAAUUUGAGGAGUAGUAAUGGUUAAAUAUAAAGCCAAUUGUGAUAUAGUCAAGAUUAUGAUGAAUGAACAGUGGACGUACAAAGUGACAUGGUGGCUCGGAAGGAAAUUCCACUUUCUGAAGAGAAUGGGAUAGAGGUCUUUUAAAAGGAGGGAGCUUUUAGGGGAGUCAUGACAGAUGAGUGAUAUUUGAAAAGGAAGAAACACGUAGGUUGAGCAUUACAGGUAUGGGAAUGAGAGCCAACUAGAAAUGCAGACUGAGUAAUAGUAACACUCUUUUGAGAUUUAUUCCAGAAAUGAAGAAAGGUACCUGGGCAUAAGCAGCUCAUGAGAUGCACUUCUCAGGCAAUAUGCCAUGAUUUAAUCGACUUUGGAAGGUGGUCCACUGAGGUUUGAAUACAUACAAAUAUGAAAGAAUUAAAGUGAUUUAAAUGCUCAUUACUACUAUGCAGAACUGAGGAAAUGUAACCUCCAGGUAGUCUUAGAGCAUUAUACUGUGAAUGCAGGAAAUGUUUAGGCAUCUGGUCUCAAAUACAGGACUUUCUCCUGUAUAAAUUAAAUACAUUAAUGGCAGAAAGUUAUGGAAAAAUUAUUUUCUUCAAUGGCAGAACACAAAGGAAGUAAAGGUACUUUUAUUAACUGCAUUGUACAAAUGCGGAAACUGAAGCUCCAAGGAAUUGAUAACUCGCCCGAAGUCAUACAACUAAUCAGAUUCUACAGGAGUCAUCAAACUCUGGCAGUCCGGCCCCAGAUCCUGAGGCUUCUUUCAAUGUACUUCCAAAGACCAAAAAAAGAUGCGUACAUCCAACUCGGAAUGUAACACGGUUGUUCAGUAAGAAGUAAAGUGGAAGGAACAUUGUUACUCAAAUAAUGAAAAUGAGAAGAAUACCUGUCCUAUUUACUUUAAGCGAUUUGACUGUUGAAAACAUAUUCGAAAUAAUAAAUUCAAAUAAAAUUAAAGAUGACAUGAAAAUAUAUAAGCUAUGGAAUGGAUUAAAUGCAAAUGACAAGCAUGUAUGUACAAAGGUGCAUAUGUAUAUGCCAUCAAGUAAGAAUACAUAAAUUGUAAAGAGUAGAAGAUUUUAAACUUUGUUUUUCAAAUGAUAACCUGCAAUAGUUGAACUUUAUAUUUGACUUAGAAAUUAUAUAAUUAAGCAUUGAUUUACUGUGCACCUAACUUCAUAGCCUUCACUUUACAUUGGUCAGCAUGUAUUAUAAGUGUCAAAUGAUGGCUGCUUAUAAAUGUUGUAGCUAUACUUUAUAAACUAACUGGCCAAGAGAUAAUUGAUUUUAUUUUUCUCAGCAUUAUAAAUCAUACAUCAGUUUAGGUGUUUCUAUUAGAUAUGAUACCAGUUUGGUCCCAGCUUUUUAAAAGAAUAAUAACAUGGGCAGCCGUAGUGUAGUAGAAAUCAUUUUUAACACUAUAUGCAAAGAAGUAAAUGCAAUAUGUUUUUUACAAUGGCAGACAGACAAUUUUUGCAGGAAAAAAAGCCUGGAAGAAAUAUAACAUGUUCUGUAAUUUAGCAACAAUUAUCAAUAUGAUAGGUUGAAAAUCAUGAUAUUGCUUACCUAUAAAAUGUAU